rnacentral:lncRNA from 1 species
CUUCCAAAGUUGGAGAAAGCUGCCAGGCUCAGGUCUGAAGGCCAGAAUUCUACAGUAAGUCCUACUGAGUCAAGGUGGGAGCAGGGUCGGUAGCUUCCGAGGCUCUGCGGGAGAAUCUGUUUCCUGGCCGUAGAGGUGGCCUGCACUCCUCAGCCUGUGCUGCCCGUCUCGAAUGACUGGAGUUUCCUGCUUCUGUCACUACACCUCCCACCCUCUCCAUCACCUGCUCUGCUCUUACAAGGAUCCGAAGAAAUGGAAUCAUCGUAUCGCUGAUCUACGUAAACAAACUGAAGAAUUGUCUGAAAGAAAAUAUGACAUGAACUUAUGAAUUCAAUAGGUGAAGAUUUACAACUUGAUAAAUCAACUUUGUCAGAGCCACCUAAGCUGAAGAUUCCCUUGAGAACAAG